GAACGGGUGAGUAACACGUGGGUGUAUCUGCCCUGCACUUCGGGAUAAGCCUGGGAAACUGGGUCUAAUACCGGAUAUGACCUUCGGCUGCAUGGCUGAGGGUGGAAAGGUUUACUGGUGCAGGAUGCGCCCGCGGCCUAUCAGCUUGUUGGUGGGGUAAUGGCCUACCAAGGCGACGACGGGUAGCCGACCUGAGAGGGUGACCGGCCACACUGGGACUGAGACACGGCCCAGACUCCUACGGGAGGCAGCAGUGGGGAAUAUUGCACAAUGGGCGAAAGCCUGAUGCAGCGACGCCGCGUGAGGGAUGACGGCCUUCGGGUUGUAAACCUCUUUCAACAGGGACGAAUCGAAAGUGACGGUACCUGCAGAAGAA
rnacentral:rRNA from 2 species